rnacentral:lncRNA from 1 species
UGCACGCCGCAUUGACGGCGACCGAUGAGGUAGUGUACAUGCCGUGCCGAGAGGAAUUGUGGCGAUUUUUGUGUGUAUUAAUGAUCCAAAACCCCUGUGACUGCAUAACGUAGCUCUCAGUGUUUUUCGUGUGGUGUGCCGAUGCUAAUUAUCGUAGUUAUGACCCGGUCGCGCUUUCUUUGUUACCGGCUCAUGAAAAGCCGAUGGUACUCUCGCUGCGCUCGCAUUCCAUCACAGUGCGCGGAAGAAUUUUUUGAAAGUUGUGCUAUCACGUGCUGUAGUUCAUCUGCAAUUCUACGCUGUUGACGCCGGAGGCACCGUGCACAGACUGUCCUUCCUGCGGUACCUGUGCGAUGCGGCAGCAGCUGUCACGGAGACUCGUUUACCGAGCACGCCUAGAAAGGGAUGUCAGGAUUUUGUGAGCCAGAGGAAUCUACACCACUUGGGAGCCUGCGGCACUUCUGCAGGCUGAACAGCGCGUCAAAGCAUCUGAUUUGCAUGCUGCGACAAGGUGUGUGCAAGACGGUCACUGCCACACACAUGAGAUGUCGGUACUCACUACUUCAUUCCUUGGAAGCGAUAAUUUUGGUCCCAACCAAGCAGCCCGGAAGAAAUCGGAGACAAAUAAAAUGUGCAAAGAAUA